AAAAUUGUUGCAGUUAAAACGUUCGUAGUUGAAUAUUAAAGAAUCCGAUGUUUCAUUUAAACUGGUUUGGGAAAACCAAAUAUAUUAUAUAUUUUGCUUUGUUCAAAAUAAGGUUUUCUAAUAAAUUAUGUUUUUAUCAGAUAUGACAGAAUCUUUUUUAAAAUCUCUUCAAUAUGCUUUUAUUGCUUUUGAGAGGUUUUGUUACUUUGAGUAAAAUUAAGUGUUCAUAACAGACGGGUAGUCAUGAUUGAGUUCAUUGUGUUUGAAUACUACAGCAUGGAAUAACAAAUAUGAAUAAGCUAAUUAUUUUUUUUUUUCAUAAUUUUUUUUGAUAUUCUUAUUAGCUUAGUUACGAUUAAUAGGAGUAGCUUUGGGGGCAUUCGUAUUCAGAUGUCAGAGGUGAAAUUCUAAGAUUUUCUGGAGACGGACUACUGCGAAAGCAUUUGCCUAAUCUAUUUCCAUUAAUCAAGAACGAAAGUUAAGGGAGUGAAGACGAUCAGAUACCGUCGUAAUCUUAACCAUAAACUAUACCGACUAGGUGUUGGAUGAAUAUAAAAAAUAUAUAAAUAUGUAGCAUUUCUUAGGGAAUGUUGAUUUUAUAUUAGAAUUGCUUCCUUCAGUACCUUAUGAGAAAUCAAAGUCUUUGGGUUCUGGGGCGAGUAUUCGCGCAAGCGAGAAAGUUAAAAGAAUUGACGGAAGGGCACCACCAGGCGUGGAGCUUGCGGCUUAAUUUGACUCAACACGGGAAAACUCACUAGUUUAAGACAAGAGUAGGAUUGACAGAUUAAUAGCUCUUUCUUGAUUUCUUGGAUGGUGAUGCAUGGCCGUUUUUAGUUCGUGAAUAUGAUUUGUCUGGUUAAUUCCGAUAACGAACGAGAUCUUAACCUGCUAAUUAGCGGUAAGUACACUAUAUUUUUAUUUGAAAUUGAAUAUAGGUAAUUAUACAUGUUUAUUCAGUGUUCAAAUUAGGAUAUUUUUUUAUUAAAAUAUUCUUUUCCCUGUUCUACUAUAAUAAUUUGUUUUUUUUUACUCUAUUUCUCUCUUCUUUUAAGAAUGUACUUGUUUGAUUAAAUAAAGCUUCUUAGAGGAACAGUGUGUAUCUAACACAAGGGAGUUUAAGGCAACAACAGG
rnacentral:rRNA from 1 species